GGCCGCUUGCCGGAAUUGGUAGACGGAAGAGACUUAAAAUCUCUCGGGCUUCGCCCGUGUGGGUUCGAUUCCCACAGCGGCCACCA
rnacentral:tRNA from 1 species